GGCCCGGCCUCUCGCUGCGCCGCCCGCGCCGCGCCGAGCAUCGCCCUCCCGGGCCCGGCCGGCGCCGCCCCAUUGGCCGGCGCCGCGGUACAUGCAAAUGAGAGCGCCGGAGCCGCCCGCCCAUUGGACACUUUGCGGCGCUAUGCAAAUGAGGCGCUGGCAAACGCCCACGCUGCGCUGUCGCUUGGAGACGGCGGGGGGGGGCUCGGCCAGGGCAUCCCUGCCUGGGAGGGCAUCCCUGCCUGCGAGGGCACCGGCACCGGCACCCACAGGCUGCCAGCGCCUGCCUCCAUCUGGCUUACUUCUAACGAGGCUCAACAUUUCUCUUUAUUGGUCUCACUUCUUGUAGUUCAGUGUAGCAUCUCUAGCUGAGCUCGUUAACCUCAGGAGAGGAAGAAGAGAAAGCAAAGAGGACAGUACCAGUCAGCGUUCCCUCUGGAAAACAAACUGCAAGGUGAAGCCCUUCCAGGUUUUCGGAAAUGUUUGAAAAGAAUCCUGCUGCCACCAUGCUAUCUGAUACCACCUGUGUGUAGGGAAAGAGCAUUUUCAGCCUCCUUACAAGUAAACACAAUCACAUCACAGCCAAAAUCACCUGAUUUCAGCACCAGUUUCUCCUAUGAUUUGAAACUGGCAGCACGAUGUUAACUGUGCAGACCAAACUGGAUAUGGCUUCCAACAGUGACACAUUUGUAGAGAUCUCAGGUGAGCAAACAAGGCCCUAAACAAAGAUAUUGGAGAUCUGUAAGAGGUAUUAAAGUAAGCUCUUACUGUUCCAGAGAAUUAGGGAGAGAAGGCAGCUUUGGCUAAUCUUUGGCCUUAAGAAUGGGUGGACCAGAAGCAAAGAAGGAAGGAGUUCAAAAUAAAUCCCUGUGGAGAGGAAUGAAUGGAUUAUGGAGCUGCCGUGGCUGUUAGCUGUAAAAUUGGAUUAGAUAAAGAACUUGAGUAAAGCUGUAUGUCUACAACUUCCUUUUUUUUUUUUUUUUUUUUUUAAAUCCUGCUUGUAACCCAAGGAUAGCAGCCAUGUUGUCUCUGCUGAAGUGAUACAAGAAUUUGCAAGUGGGAAAUACCCUGUGGAAAUUUCACUUCAUAGCCUAAUUGCUCAAUGAUACAGACAAGGAGAAAACCUAAUUAGUGAUCCAACCUGAAUAGUCCAGGUUGUUAAUGAUUUGGUGGAGGCACUCUGAAAAAGACACUAGUAUUCAGUUCAGAUAUAAACAAAAGUUAUAGCUUGUAUCCAGUAAUACACAGUGGCUAAGGGAUUUCUAAAGGAUUUAUAAUCAAAUAGUUAGAUUUUAUGGAAAAAAGGAUUGUAAUUUGCUGGAUGAUAAUCCUUAAGUUUUAUGAGAAGUUACUGAUUCAGUCUGUAAAAUGAGAGAAAUGAAAAACAGUACAAAAAGUAUGGGAAGUGGUUCAGACAAAAGCUGACAUGAUGGGAAAAAAACUAAAUCUUCUAUUAAAAAUAAAUGUUACAAGCAGAAGACAGGUCAGGAGAUAAUAUUACAAGGGCAGAAUGAAAAAUGUUUCAUAGAGCCUGGGAAAAAGGGGACCUUCACAGCAAAAGUUCUAAAUGUCUGGAUAUUUAAACAAUAACUACAGUCCCACUCCUUAGAAAAUCUCAAAGUGCAUGAGAGCAACAGAUCAUGGCUCCCAACAUGUUACUGAAUCAGGUGUGCUAAAAUGGACAGUGAAGUUUGUACAAACUGAGAGCUCCUAACUGGGCUCAGAUCAAGGCAGUGACUAAAAAAUAUGCAUUUCCUACUUAUAUGGGAGAACUGGGCUUGAAAAUUGCUUCUGUGAAAUUCAAACAACACAAACUCCUGGAUAAAUGGUUAAAUUUAUAAUUCACUUGCAUUCCAGUGUGGAUAAUACUAUGUAAAAACCACUAUCAGCAGAAACUCAAUAUGAAGAUGUGGCAAACAACCUUGUAGGUGUUUGGUUUUCAAUCAACAAAUCAUCUUAAGUUUAACAGCUGAAAUUGCAAUAACAGCCAUAUGAAGUAUUAGGUUUUCAGCAGAAUGAAAACUAGAAAUAUUUUAAAAAUUAUCCAGAUGCAUCUUAGCAGUUGAAAUUACUUGGAAUUCGAAGCCAACUACGUUGCCUACAUGGCAAUUGUAGGAAUUUGUAGGCAACUACAUGUGGGUGAAACGCAAUCUGGAUAUUUUGUGGUUACUGCCAUAAAAGUAAAUGUCAAAAAAGGGGAGGAAAGAUGACUUUGUGAUGAAAUUGUAUUGUAUUUGAUUCUGGGCCAUGCUGACUACCUCAGUAAAGCACUUAUCUUGAAUAUUUAAGCCUUAUGGAAUAAAUAAGUUACUGUACAUCAGUUUAUGAUGAAAUAAAUUUCUACACAUGGCAUUAGGAGACCUUGGAUGUACUCAGCUGAUCCAGGACAAGAGUAACUACAAACAACAGAGAACAAGACUCUCAGACACAGAUGUGACACCCACUAAUGGUCUGUAAGGACUAUACAUAUCUAAUGACAGUGCAGAUUACCUGGUUAGUUUUCAUGUUAGUUGCCAAAAUUGUAAUCAUAGGCUGUGGUUUUUUGAUCACUGGAAAAGAACAUAUCGGAAAACUAGUGUUUAGAAAACAAGCAUUCUGAAACUAUACCAUUUGAAAGAACAGUUGGCCAAUACCCCACUCUACAAGAGCAAACUUGUAGAAAGUUUUAAAAAUAAAGCAGGCUCAGAUAUAAGAUUAUGGGGGUUCAUCUGGUUUGACAAUUCGAAAAAAAAAGAGGAGAUUAUAAACUAAAUUGACACUGGAACUUGAGUACUGACACAAGUAAA